AUACUUUCUUCAGUUCAUAAGCAUGAUGCUUGAGUGUUCACACUGUUGAAUGGCAUGUGUCUACUACAAACCUUGUUACCGCAUAGGAAUGAUACCCAUCUGAUG